UAUCUCGGCUCUUGCAUCGAUGAAGAACGUAGCGAAAUGCGAUACUUGGUGUGAAUUGCAGAAUCCCGUGAACCAUCGAGUCUUUGAACGCAAGUUGCGCCUGAAGCCAUUAGGUUGAAGGCACGUCUGCCUGGGCGUCACGCAUUGCGUCACCCACUCCCCCGUGCCUGAGCGGGCAU
rnacentral:rRNA from 1 species